AGCGAACGCUGGCGGCAGGCCUAAUACAUGCAAGUCGAGCGCACCUUCGGGUGAGCGGCGGACGGGUGAGUAACGCGUGGGAACGUGCGCUUUGGUACGGGAUAACUCAGGGAAACUUGAGCUAAUACCGUAUGUGUCCCUCGGGGGAAAGAUUUAUCGCCAUUGGAGCGGCCCGCGUUGGAUUAGCUAGUUGGUGGGGUAAAGGCCUACCAAGGCUACGAUCCAUAGCUGGUCUGAGAGGAUGAUCAGCCACACUGGGACUGAGACACGGCCCAGACUCCUACGGGAGGCAGCAGUAGGGAAUCUUGCGCAAUGGGCGAAAGCCUGACGCAGCCAUGCCGCGUGAAUGAUGAAGGUCUUAGGAUUGUAAAAUUCUUUCACCGGGGAAGAUAAUGACGGUACCCGGAGAAGAAGCCCCGGCUAACUUCGUGCCAGCCGCCGCGGUAA
rnacentral:rRNA from 1 species